rnacentral:ncRNA from 1 species
GCGAAAUAGUCGGGGGGCCACGCGAUAAGCGUUGGCUGAGAUCGAGAUUCGAGACCCGUUGAACCUGAUUCAGUUAGCACUGACGUAGGGAACUAUGCGCACUUUGCC